rnacentral:misc_RNA from 1 species
GGGGGAGGGAAUGAUCAGAAAAAUACAAGGGGGUAAAAAAAAAAAAAGGCCAAAUGCUAAUGGAAAAUAGGGUAGUUUAGAUUACUCAGAUAUUGAUGGGUUUGAUGCUUUGUUCCAGCCCCUUUUACAAGAAUAUGAUUCUGUCAUCUUUUUCAUGUUUUUUGUUCUCCCCUUACUAGUUUGACUUGAUUAUUGAGUUAAAUGGUAGCAUAAUAUUACAUUUUAAAUUCUUUUAAAUUUUAAAGACAUUAAAGUCUCUCAAAAUUUUCGUUUCAAGAUAAGUUUUCAUAAUAAUGUCCUUUGUAAUGGACAUGCAAGGAUGUUCCUGAAUAUUUUAUUACCAAGUUAAGUUUCAAGUUGAGUAGCAUUUCCAAUUCCAAAUUAGAUGGUCAUCAAUGGCAAAGGUGGAUUCUUU